AUAAACACCCAAAAAAUAAAUGAGAGGAAAAAGAUAG
rnacentral:misc_RNA from 1 species